rnacentral:rRNA from 1 species
GAUGAACGCUGGCGGCGUGCCUAAUACAUGCAAGUCGAGCGAACAGACGAGGAGCUUGCUCCUCUGACGUUAGCGGCGGACGGGUGAGUAACACGUGGAUAACCUACCUAUAAGACUGGGAUAACUUCGGGAAACCGGAGCUAAUACCGGAUAAUAUAUUGAACCGCAUGGUUCAAUAGUGAAAGACGGUUUUGCUGUCACUUAUAGAUGGAUCCGCGCCGCAUUAGCUAGUUGGUAAGGUAACGGCUUACCAAGGCGACGAUGCGUAGCCGACCUGAGAGGGUGAUCGGCCACACUGGAACUGAGACACGGUCCAGACUCCUACGGGAGGCAGCAGUAGGGAAUCUUCCGCAAUGGGCGAAAGCCUGACGGAGCAACGCCGCGUGAGUGAUGAAGGUCUUCGGAUCGUAAAACUCUGUUAUUAGGGAAGAACAAAUGUGUAAGUAACUAUGCACGUCUUGACGGUACCUAAUCAGAAAGCCAUGGCUAACUACGUG